NNNNNNNNNNNUAGCAUAUCACUAAGCGGAGGAGAAGAAACUAACCAGGAUUUCCCUAGUAACGGCGAGCGAACCGGAAAGAGCCCAGCUUGAAAAUCGAGGUGCUUCGCACCUCGAAUUGUAGUCUGGAGAAGCGUCCUCUGCAGCGUGCCGGCCCCAAGUUCCCUGGAAUGGGAUGCCCAAGAGGGUGACAGCCCCGUCGAGGCCGGUUUUUUAUUGCUGCUCCACGAGGCGCGAUCUGCGAGUCGGGCUGUUUGGGAAUGCAGCCCUAAGUGGGAGGUAAAUUCCUUCUAAGGCUAAAUAUUGGCAAGAGACCGAUAGCGAACAAGUACCGCGAGGGAAAGAUGAAAAGGACUUUGAAAAGAGAGUUAAACAGUGCUUGAAAUUGCUGGGAGGGAAGCGAAUGGAAGCUGCGGGUGUGCCCCGGUUGGAUGUGGAACGGCUUCGGCUGGUCUGCCGCUCAACGCGGGGCACUGGUCAGCGUGGGCUACUUCGGCGGGACAAGAGCAGGAUGUAGUUUCCUGCCCCCCAUGCCGCCGAGGUGGCCGAGGAACGAAGCGUGCGGCCCCCUCUCGGGGGGGUCGUGGGACUCGUCCCAACUGCACGCUCGGGACGCUGGCGUAUUGAGCUCUUCAUCCGACCCGUCUUGAAACACGG
rnacentral:ncRNA from 1 species